rnacentral:rRNA from 1 species
GAUGAACGCUGGCGGCGUGCCUAAUACAUGCAAGUCGAGCGAACGGACGAGAAGCUUGCUUCUCUGAUGUUAGCGGCGAACGGGUGAGUAACACGUGGAUAACCUACCUAUAAGACUGGGAUAACUUCGGGAAACCGGAGCUAAUACCGGAUAAUAUUUUGAACCGCAUGGUUCAAAAGUGAAAGACGGUCUUGCUGUCACUUAUAGAUGGAUCCGCGCUGCAUUAGCUAGUUGGUAAGGUAACGGCUUACCAAGGCAACGAUGCAUAGCCGACCUGAGAGGGUGAUCGGCCACACUGGAACUGAGACACGGUCCAGACUCCUACGGGAGGCAGCAGUAGGGAAUCUUCCGCAAUGGGCGAAAGCCUGACGGAGCAACGCCGCGUGAGUGAUGAAGGUCUUCGGAUCGUAAAACUCUGUUAUUAGGGUAGAACAUAUGUGUAAGUAACUGUGCACAUCUUGACGGUACCUAAUCAGAAAGCCACGGCUAACUACGUG